rnacentral:lncRNA from 1 species
CAACAAACUCCAUUAAUGAUUAUUAAUUAUCCAUUAACCCUACCGUGCUAAUGAAAACCCGUAUUGUAAAGAUGAAAGCUGACCAGUGUGCAGUCUUUUCUGUCAUGUUCUGCGUUUUGUACUAUGUGUGUGAUCUGUCUUCAGUAUGCAAAUUCAAAAGACCACUAAGAGAGAUACAAGUGGUGGAUUUCAGAGAACUUCCUGAACCAUUGAAAAGCAGGAGAAAGUACGCUUCUGUAAUCCUGUCACAUCUGUUCUAAAGGAUUCCAGGGACUCUGACCUGCGACUCAAAAAACUGACAUCACAAGGCACCAAACUUCCCCGAAAGCUGAGGAAAAAUAAGCACCUUCAAGAAGAGAAAAGACAAAAGCACUGACCUUGUGGCAAAGCACAGGAGGAAGGGAAAGCUACUAUGCAAGUAAGCAAGAAGGAUCCAGGAAGAGAGAGAGGAAUGUAAGAGAAGACAGUCACUAUGUUGAAGAGAAGUUUAGAGGACUGCCCAGAGUAAAGAAAUCCCCUUCCAAGUGUUUCUCCUGCAGCCUUGGCAAAAAUAUACACAUCAGGGAUACAGACUUCUUCAAUGACUUGUUUACUUGGAAGAAUGUUUAAGCCAAGCACAGUGGGAUCGAACUCGGGACCUUGUGCCUGCAAGGCAGGCGGUGGAACCACUGAGCUAAAUCCCCAGCCCUCAUAAGUGGGCUUUUAAGAAGUGAUUGGAUAAUGGUGGCAUGAUACUCGUCAGUGGAUUAGUCUACUGUGAUUUCUAAAACCAUGGAAUUCCAUGGAAUCAUCUUGGGAGAGAGUGUUGCCUGAGAAAAAAAGAGAGCCAAUGAUUAUGUCCUGGAAAGAUCUCAGCUUUUAGGGGUUAAGCAGAAGAGGAGGAGUAGGUAAAGGAGGCUGAGCAAUGAACACUGGAGGACCAAAAAGAAAAGUUUUUUGGACGGGACGAUGUGUUUCGAUUUUCUGUUCUGCCGUCCAGUCUGAAGUGGGGGCAGCAACAGGAAAAGAACCUGUGGUUAUCUUCCCAUCCCGGCUAAGUCAGGUCCUGGACCGUCCAAAGUUGGACUUUGGCACUUUCCCUCUCAGCAACAUUCGAAAGGCUCCCUCGAAGAAUACGAUUUUGUGCUUAAGAGGAAGAGCGCUGGGAGAUGAGCGAGGGGGCGAGCGAGCCGGAAAGAGGAGCGCGGAGAGCGCGGCCGCCCCGCCGUCGGAGGCGCACAGAGC